rnacentral:misc_RNA from 1 species
GGAAGUAAAAGUCGUAAACAAGGUCUCCGUAGGUGAACCUGCGGAGGGAUCAUUACAGAGUUCUCGCCCUCGCGGGUAGAUCUCCCACCCACUGUUAUCGUUACUGUGUUGCUUUGGCGGGCCGCCGGGCCCCGCUCGGCCGCCGGCUCCGGCUGGCGCGCGCCCGCCAGAGGCCCAGCAAACUCUGAAUGUUAGUGUCGUCUGAGUACUAUAUAAUAGUUAAAACUUUCAACAACGGAUCUCUUGGUUCUG